AAGCACUGCAAGUGACCCACUGGCCUUCCCCUUGACCAACUGGGCAUCGAGCAGUGCAAGAGCAAAUCCCUCCCUAAGCUGGGAGAGUCACACCGUGGGCUGCUCCUGCAUGCAGGUGGGUACAUUC
rnacentral:snoRNA from 1 species